UAUGGGCCACUUCGCACUUGCCUUACGGAGAAUUGGUCAGGACCGGAAGGUAGCAGCCAGGCCGGAAGCGCAGGGUGCAGAAGAGAGGUCGGUAAAG
rnacentral:SRP_RNA from 1 species